rnacentral:rRNA from 1 species
GGCGAAGCCGCGAGGUGGAGCGAACCCCAGAAAUAACGUCUCAGUUCGGAUUGCAGGCUGCAACCCGCCUGCAUGAAGCCGGAAUCGCUAGUAAUCGCGGAUCAGAAUGCCGCGGUGAAUACGUUCCCGGGUCUUGUACACACCGCCCGUCACACCAUGGGAGUCGAUAACGCCCGAAGUCAGUGACCCAACCGCAAGGAGGGAGCUGCCGAAGGCAGGUCCGGUAACUGGGGUGAAGUCGUAACAAGGUAAC